UACGGAGGGUGCAAGCGUUGUCCGGAAUCACUGGGCGUAAAGGGCGCGUAGGCGGCUCGGUAAGUAGGGGGUGAAAUCCUGCGGCUUAACCGCAGGGCUGCCUUCUAAACUGUCGAGCUUGAGCACGGUAGAGGCAGAUGGAAUUCCCGGUGUAGCGGUGGAAUGCGUAGAGAUCGGGAAGAACAUCAGUGGCGAAGGCGGUCUGCUGGGCCGUUGCUGACGCUGAGGCGCGACGGCGUGGGGAGCAAACAGG
rnacentral:rRNA from 1 species